GCAGGCUGGGGGUUGUCUCCUCCGCAUGGUCAUCGUUUCCGACUCUCUAGGUUCCAUUUCUCUCCGCGAUUAGCUAGUGAGCUACAGGAGGGCAGGCCCAGGAUGAUGGUGGUGCCUUAUUAGGUGUUUUGUUAAAGUGUGUGUGCGCCACAUACCAAGGCCAGAGAGACAAGGCUCCCAUCUGCUCGUUCCGAGGUGCUCAAGAGUGGAGCUGGCGGCAGGGAUGGUGGGAGUGGGAACCCAACCAGUACUAUCACCUGCUGCCUUCCACAACGCACGGUGGCGGGAAGCAAGACUCGGGAGUGGGGGCCGGUCUAUUGGCUCAGCUAAUCCUCAACUUCCAGGUGUGGCAUCCCAUAUGCGUGCAGGUUCGUGUCCACUGUGGCGCUGUGACACUGGCAACCUACAUGAGUGCUUUGAGUGUGGGGUUCCUGUCCUGGCUACUGCUCUUCCCAUCCGGCUUCCUGCCUGCAGCCUGGG